UCUUACCCAGUUGUUGUUUUGGUACUUUAAAAACACUGUUUUUAAAAGAACAGGCUAGUAUCUUAAGCCUUUUAGUUCACUAAACUUCUACAAAAUAUCUCUAAGAGGGGCCUUGUUUUGUUACAGCUCAGGCAAUACUGCUUUUUCAUAAUAAACUUUACAAAACAUAAUGCUUCAAAUAUAUGGGAAGGAAAAUAAACUUCUCUCUGAUCCCCUGGAUUACAAAAUAAGGAGGAUAUAAACUAGCUGUUACUAAGGUUCUGUGGUUUCCACUCUGGCGUGUUUUCUGCAAGCCCUCUUUUUAAUUAAAACACGCAUGUAAAAAUGUUAAAUAAAGGGCUCUGUCUUUAUAUAGGCUUGUCUUUUAAAGUGUUUAUUCCUCUACAAAACUUAAUAUAACUUCCACUUGUAUGUGUUAAAAAACAGGCAAAGAAGCAGCCGCCUUAUCUCUGAUCUACUGGUUUACAGAGGCUGUUUUUGCUGACAGCUGCUCUGCUGCAAAAGCCUGCUGUCCUUACUAAAAAAUGACCAGUGCUAGCCUAAACCUAGGGAAAAACUUUCUGUGUUUUUAAGCCUGGGUUGUUUCUGCGGAUUUGCAUGUUAUUGAAACACCUGUGCCUGAGAGGCUAAAUGAAGGUUAUGGGUCUUCAGGAUUGGUUCAGGAAAAUGAAUUCUAUGACGCUGCUGUAAAACCACCUCUGAUUGGGCCGAUCCAAAGGAAUUGAUAACAAGUGUGAGAGGGUCUGAACCAGAAAAGUUGCCUCAUUCUACAGAAAGACUUCAAAGGGUUAAACCAGAAAAGCUGCCUCGUUUUACAAAAAGACUGCAAAGGAAACAGGAUUGGACUGCAACAACAGCCCAUCUUCACUAACUUCUCUUUCCUGUGAAAAGGCCAGUUAUUACCAUCUUUAAUACCACCGCCAGUAUUAAAACAGCUAGAAGCCAUGAUGCCUUUACCGGAACUCUGAUGCCAAUUUUGCCUUUGUGAGUCGUUGGUGAUCAUUGAUAUCAAUAGAGAUGGGCUGGUUUGCACCAGGUGUUGGAAUUUCCUAUCAUCCAUUCCAUUCCCUGUAACGAGAGUCACCAGAUACCAAAAGCUUAAGGUUUAUAUUUAGCAAGUUCUGUAGCGCCAAGGCCAUCUUUUUGUUCUGUGUCUGUACAGCGCAGAGCACUAUGGGGUCUUGGUGCAGGAAUAGGGCUUCUAGAUAUUAUCACAACACAAAUAAUAAACAAUAGCAAUAACUAAGGGUUUCCUCUUUAAAGGUCAAAAGGUCUGAAUCUCUUAUCGCAUACACUGGUUUUAUACUGGUGUGAAACUAUUAACUACAUGGGCAUUACUCCAGAUUUACAUUGGUGUGAAAGAGCAGAGGAUCAGGCCCACAAUCUUCCAAAUCCACUUAGAAAUAUUUGGGACUUUCUUCAAUGCUUUAUCUUGGGCCACUUUUGAAUCAGGUUCCUUCUGGUUUUGUACCCAGUCCACUGUAGGGGGGACAUUGUUUUUGGGCUCCAGGAAUGACUGCCCAGCUCUCUUCCUACCUUGCUAGAAAUGGCUGCUUCAUCUAAUAGAGUCAGAAAAGAGAAGCAGGCCCCUGGCCCAGAGUCUCAAAGCUAGUUAGGUGCCUAAAUGCUUCUGAGGAUCUGGUCCUUUAUGCUUAUAGUGACGACUCAUUAAAGGUGAAAUUCACCCCAUGCACAGGAUCAGCCUAAGGCAUAGGCACCACUUAAGUCUUAACUGAAGGCUUAAAGGAGUAAAGUACAGCAGUCAAAAGUUUGUGCUAAAACAAUGAAUAUUAGGUUUUUGCCUGAACAAAGUUUUUUGGAAAAAGUAUCUGAUCUUUGUGAAAAGUUGUGCUGUUUCAUCAAAUUAAAAAACAAAAAAAAAAGACAACUGAAAGCAGAAAGCUUCAGGCCAAACCCUAUUUUUACAAAUUAGUCAAUUCCACUGCAAUGCAUCAUGGGAGUUGUAGUUCAUGUGCCUUAUGUCCUCAUUCAUCUCUAUGGGCUGGGGUUUCCAACUGGAUGCAUCUCCCAUGAUGCCCCAAAGUUAUCUGACUCCUCUGAUGUAUUGUGGUCUCUCACCAAGAGGGGACACUGUGGUGCAUUAUGGGAGAUGUAGUCCCACCAAGGUACAUAGCCAAUAGGGGAGAACUGGGGCAUGGAACACCUGAACUACAACUCCCCUGAAGCACUAUGGCAGUAUUUCUCAAGUGAAAUUUUUGGGUGUCACUUUUCCACUAAAAAAGGUUCACCCUGCUCUAGUGUUUAGGACUUGUGUUGGCCUUAAAAAGUAUAAGAUGCUCUUGACUGCAAAAUAAAGGCAAGAGGUUCUAUCUUCCGACUGAAUAUUGUAUACAGCAGGGAUUCUCAAACCAAGGGUUGGGACUCCUCAGGGGGUCACGCGUUAUUAUAUGGGGAGGUCGAGAGCUGUUACCCUCCACCCCAAAUCCUGCUUUGCUGCCAGCAUUUGUAAUGGAGUUAAAUAUAUAAAAAAGUGUUUUUAAUGCAUAUGUGGGGGUUGCACUCAGAGGCUUGCUGUGUCACCAGUACAAAAGUCUGAGAACCCCUGGUAUAGGGCCUGCUUAAUCAAAUGGCAUCCAAAUGUGGGUUUUUAAACAUCAGUUAAUAAAUUAUAUUGCAUCAAUCCUCUGAGGAUUUCAAAAAGAACUGCUGACCUUGUAAAUUAGGCUCCUAGGAUAAGCCUUAAAAUCCAAUGCACAAGUCUGUCUCUCACCAGCCAAUAUCAGCCACCGUACCUCAGCUGAAAUCAGUGGCAUUUCACUGGUGUAAGCGAAGGGAGCAUCAGACCCGUGGGCUUUCCCUGCUCAACCAAAUAUAAAUCCAUCAUGAUCAAGUAAAAUAAAUUACGCUGACAGAAGUAAUGUUUCAGUGACUGACGGGCAACAGAAGAUCCCAUUCCAAGCAGUUCACCAUUUUUAUUGUAUGCCGUAGGACUAUACACGUUUCAUGCAGGCUAUGUGUUUGUCCCAGCUGCCACUCAGAAUGAAGUGCUUCACUUCAUGUGGGUGGGUCCUGGGCUAAGAUACUUGGUUCCUGGUCCGUAGUACCGGUGUCUUUAUCGAGGGUCCUGCAAGCAGAAAAAGAGAGUCAUUCCACAGCUGCUAGACUGAAUCGGUGAUCAAAGAUCACAGAACAUGCCCCCUCCCCUUGCCAAUUGAUAUUGGCCUAGCAGUGAAUCACUGCCUGGAGUGCAUUCAUUUAUUAUAAACACAAUAAAUAGUUUAUACAUUCACUGUAUUGAUAAUGGGCCUGAUUCUGCUCUCGUUUAGGGACUGAUCUAAAGCUCAUUGAAGUCAAUGGGUGUCUUUCCAUAUACUUCACUGGGCUUUGGGUCAGGUCUGUGCACUGGUUUUAUUGUACCUGUGCAGCUUGAAUGACUUCAGCAGACUUGCCUUGGGUUUGGGCACAAACAGGUUCAGGCCCAAUGGGAAGCCACAAAACGGCUAUGAAAAAUGUUUGCCAAUUGAUUAUAACCUGCAUAGGAAGUCAAAGGGUGUCUCACUGUAAAAUUGUAUAACAGAUAAGCAGUGUGUUUCCCUCAAAGCAAGCAAUGAAUGCUGGUGAAUGCCCUGUAACGUAAGGGAGCUGCGUGCAAUAAAUUAAGGGGUGACUCAUCGGCCCUGAGCUACUUAGGGACCCCUGAAGUGCUCGGAUCCUGCCGUGUCAGUAAAAUGAUUGGCUUUACCAAACAGCAGCUGCCUGAAAAAUACAGGCCAGGGUUUAGAGUGAGCAGACAGCAAUGUGAAAAAUCGGGACACUUUCUUUUGGGAGGUGGGGAAAUGGGGGUAUAGUUGCGUGUAUAAGACAAAGUCCCUAAUAUCGGGACAGUCCCAAUAGUAUUGGGACGUCUGCUCAUCCUCCCAGGAUUCCACUCUGCCAACACCUUUCAUGUGUAAAUUCAGCGAUCCAAGGGAGCUGAUGCCACGUGGGUGGUGGGUGAAGUGUCCUCUGGGAGCUAGCUCUGUCCCCCGCUCUCCCCCUGGCCCCUCCCCAUCCCCACUCAGCCCCCGCGCUGCUGCUCGCCACAUCUCUCCUCUCCACUAGCCCCCUCUGCCUGCCUGCCACUGGCCACAUCCCUCCUCACUCCCUCACCUCCCUUAAGACCCCCCUCCCCUGCCACCACUCGCUGCUUCCCUUCUCACCUCCCUGCUCCUGCAUGACCCCCCUGCCCACCACAUCCCUCCUCACCCCGGUGACACCCACCACUGUCCACCACUCAUCACGUUCCCUCCUCAUCCCCCUGCCACUGCGAGACCCCCUCUGCCCUCCACGUCCCUCCUCACCCCCCACCCCAUCAAGACCCCCACCAUGCACCACUUAUCUUGUCCCCGCCUCACUCCCCCACACACACACUCACCAUUCGCUGUGUCCCUCCUCACCCCCCCAGUUCCCACAGGGGAAGGGGUGGAGGAGAGGAGAGAUGCAGCGAGCAGCGGUAGCUGUGGGUGGUGGGGGCUUUGGAGAAGGGCAGAGCAGGGAGGGGAAGAGGCAGAGCGCAGGCAGGGCCACCAUGGGCCAAGUGUCUAGCAGCGUGUCAGAGGUGGCUGUGCCAGGGGAGGUUUAGCCUCCCUGGCCUAUUCUAUCUGUCGUCCAUGAUGACAGAUCCUGUUGGGGGUGGGACCCAGAUGUUGGGCAUUGGUAUUAAUUAGCACUCCACGGGGCUAGCUCCUCAGCUGGUGGAAAUCGGCGUCAUGAGGCUGGGCCCAUGUGCCGAGGAGGACAGUCCAUGGAGACCAUAGUCGGAGGUGCUACAUGCCUGGGGUCAGUGCAGGUAGGGGAUCCUGGAAUCAGGGAGGAUGGUGGGGGAACAACCUGAGGGAGAUCAGGGCAGGAGCGGGGAAAGGAGGAGAUCUGCAGGGUUGGCUUACAGCAGGUGAGAGCUGGAAGGAAAGGAUCUACGGGGUCAGGAAGAGCAGUGGAUGUGCUCCAUGUUGAUCAGUAAGGAAAUGGAAAGGGGAUUUCUGGGGCAGGGGAGGCGCAUGAAAAGGGAGAGAUGCAGUGGGUGGGAAGGGCUCUCUGAGGUCACAGAGGCAGAACGGAGAUGCAGGUGGAAUCCUGGCCAGAUUUAAAAUGGCUGCCAUCACAUGGCGGUGGCGAUUUAAAAUAUCUGGGAACCGCAUUGCUCUUUUCAAUGAGAUUUAUACGCAGGGUCUGGCCAUAUGUACAGACUGAUGACAGUUGGGGCUUAAACGGCAGGACCAAUUUUGUGGCCAGCACCCUGUCCAUGUGAGUCUAGGUACAGUAGUGUCUGCCCAUCUGAUCGAAUCCAGUGCAAUCCUGGUUUGCAGCCUGUGAGCGUGACUUUCCCUACAAGAGGCUAUAUGUGAGCUCAGCCUAGAGCCUGGACUGGGAGCUGCUCAGCUCGGGACAAUCUCACUCAUGUGUCCAGGGUUUAUCUGACCUCCACACUGGCAGAUUGGAUUUUUCUACCAGAACUUAUUGGCAGGGGCUUGUGGAUACUUCCCCACUCCACGGAGCAGUCAUGGUGCAGGGAGUGAGCUGGUAACACAACUGGCUUUCUGCAGAGGCAGGGGGUGCACAGUGAGAGAGAUGGCCAUAAUUUGGGAGGAGGGUAGCCAAGAAGGAGGUGAGCCCAACACCUAAGGACAAUGGAGUCCGUGCGAGUGUCAGGCCUACAGCAGCACUCCACCGGACCUAGUCACGUUGGGCACUGCACUGAGUGCCUUGGGGCAUGUUUACACUGCAGCUAGGAGCCAGCCUCGGUCCACAGACUCCUGUUAACAUGCUAAAAAUAGCUGUGUAGACACAU